GGUAACGCCGUGCGAGCAGGCGUGGGAAUAAGUGGGAGGCACGCGUUUGCCGGAAUUAUUGGGCGUAAAGCGUCCGUAGGUGGCGAGGCAAGUCUGCGGUCAAAGACUGGGGCUUAACCCUGGAAAGGCCGUGGAAACUGACGAGCUAGAGUGCAGUAGGGGUAGAGGGAAUUCCCGGUGUAGCGGUGAAAUGCGUAGAGCUCGGGAAGAACAUCGGUGGCGAAAGCGCUCUACUGGACUGCAACUGACACUCAGGGACGAAAGCUAGGGGAGCGAAUGGGAUUAGAUACCCGAGUAGUC
rnacentral:rRNA from 1 species